AGAGCGAACGUUAGCGGCGCGCCUAACACACGCAAGUCGCACGAGAAAGGGCUUCGGCCCCGGUAAAGUGGCGCACGGGUGCGUAACACGUAGGUAAUCUUCCCUGUGGCGGGGGAUAACGACCCGAAAGGGUCGCUAAUACCGCAUGAGACUACGACCAUUACGGUGGAUGUAGUUAAAGCUGGCCUCUACACGUAAGCCAGCGCCAUAGAAUGAGCCUGCGGCCCAUCAGCUAGUUGGUAAGGUAACGGCUUACCAAGGCUAAGACGGGUAGCUGGUCUGAGGGGAUGAUCAGCCACACUGGCACUGAAACACGGGCCAGACUCCUACGGGAGGCAGCAGUGGGGAAUAUUGGUCAAUGGGCGCAAGCCUGAACCAGCGACGCCGCGUGAGUGAUGGAAGGCCGUUCGGGUUGUAAAGCUCGUGGUGGGGAGGGAACGAAAACGGUUGGGCGCGAACGAGCUCCCGACCUUGACCGGUACCUCCUUAGCAAGCCACCGGCUAACUCUGUGCCAGCAGCCGUA
rnacentral:rRNA from 1 species